CAUAUUUUUUUAGGUUCGGAUUUGGGAUAGGUGUAGUAAAGGGUUAAAAAUAAGCCCCACAGGACAUUUUUUGUCCUGUGACUUGUCAUAAUCUUAAAGUAGACUUCAAAGAUUAAGAAAAACCCCAAGAUGUUUUUAUUUAAUGCACAGGAUUUUAGUAUAAUGUGAAAACAUACAGGCAAAUUUACAUUUUUUUGCUAUUUGUUUUAUAUUUUUGUCCCAAAUUUGUAAAAAACUUAAUAACCAUUUCGUUAAAUUCCUUGGCCCAGAAUUGUAUGGAAAAGUGGCUCAUUUGUCUGUAUAGGUUGUUAACUCAAGGAGCUAUGCCAUUUUCUUCAUAUUUUUUUCCGGUUCAGAAUCAGCAUAGAUGCAUAAAUGUCAUGGGAAAUUAUUUCAUCCUGUUACCUGUCAGAAUCUUAAAAUAGACACUCCAAAGAUUAAGAAAAAAACAGGUGGCGAAAAAAAAAAUCCACUAUGUGCUCGUGGACCCCUGUUUCCAUCUAGACUAAAUUUCAUUGGCCACGGAAUUUACCACGCCCACACCUAAUUUCAUUGGCCACGGAAGGUUUGGCGCUUGAGAGUGCAUUUCCGGGGCAUGACAGUGCACAUGCACUGUGAAGCCCCUGUUGCACACGGGCAGUCUUGGAAUCAGUUCAGACUUCAGCGCCGCGAUGUCCUGGACAAGCAGAGCAGCACUAGCUCCAGGUGGGGCUACUGCCUCAGGAGACGGCGGGGACGCAGACUGGAUUAUAGGCCGGAGGGAACUCUAACUCACGUCCGCUCCAUGCGGUGUCAGAACCGGAAGUCCGUCUUGUUUAUUUUUAAAUGUCAUAAUGUUAACGGAUUUUAGAAAUGGAGAGCAUACAAAUGGUAUCAGACGUAUUAGGAAGAGCAGCAAGUGUCGGCAAUGCAAUUGCCGACAGACUUAUAAGUGCUGCCAAAAAAAUUCGAUUUGUAGUCUUCAUUUUUGGCAUGAUGAAAAAGGGAAUCGAUCUCUUUCUCAGGUACGUGCAGCAAUGUAGGUAGGUGGUGCUAAUGAGCUUAAUAAAACUAUGGCUAUGACCAAAAUGGCUUAAUACUCCCUCAUAAGUGUUGCGCUAUUUAGGGAGACACUAUGUAGUUCACUAACUAGUGGUAAAACAGGAGUGAAUUCGGACACUAACUCAUCAUUAUCAUGCGCCAGCACUGAUCGCAUAAACACACACAGAUGAGAGAGGGGUUUAGCCGCGUUUAAAACUCCAUAAAGCAACUGAGCUCUGAAUUAAAGAUAGUGAAGCUCUGAGCUGAUCAUGAAGUAAUUUAUAUGCCUGUUAUAUUUGCGCUGAUCAAAAUAUUAAUAUUAUUGAACUACAUGAAGAAAAACUGAAAUUAACAGCGUACACCGGCUCGCAGUGUUGCCAGAUUGGGUGGUUUCAUGCCAAAUGUCGAGUUGUGUCUGAAAUUGUCUGUAGGAAACGCUGCAAGGUUAUGUUUAUGUACUGUAUUUACUUUUUUGGUUCGUGUGUCCUGUGAUACAAGGCAAAAAACACAUAAUACAAGCAUGCAGAUAAACUAAUUUAAAGAUAUUUUUUUUGUAAUCAGUGAUUCGUCACAUAUUGAAGGUAUUUUAGUUAAGGUCAUGUUGGAAUAAACCCUGUAAUAUUGUUAAUAUGACGAACAUCAGCUGUUUGGGUGGUUUUCUCAGGAUUUUGGCGGAUUUAAAACACGUUUUUUACCCAGUGAAUUGGUUUUAUCUGAAUUACACUAACAAUCUGGCAACCAUGAUGGCUCACUGUCCGCUCCGUUUCUGCGUCUGUCUGUUGCUUAGUAGCGAUUUUUUCAAAUUAUAAAAUAGUAAAGAUCUAAAUAAUAAAGGCAGUUGUUUAUUCAUAGCCAAUAAUAUUAUAAAUACAUACACACUACACGUAUUUUAUUAUAUUGACAUUUAAGAAAUAUAAAUAACCAUUAAUUGUUGAAUAAUAUAUUUAUUGACAUCCAUGAGCUUUUUAAUCACGGAGGACUUUUUUUCUGGCAUUCGGCAGAGAAAUUGAGCUGUGUUGAAUGAGGUCUCCCUGUAGACUUUUAUAUAAUAUAAUAUAAUAUAAUGUGAUAGUACAUUCUAUAUAACAUUAAAUUUGAUGUAAUAGAAUAAUAGUAAUAAUAAUCACGGAAGACUUUUAUUAUGACAUUCGCCGGAGCCAUGGUGAGAGAGGUCUGCGCACAAACGCGCUCUCGAGCCGUAUACUAUGAAACGCCAAAAGGCCCAAAAAACGCCUGGACCAGACGCCUUUUAUCGAAAAGAACGGCGUAAAAUACGCCGUUCUGUGUGGGUUUUACGCCGUAAUAUACGCCGUAUGAUUUCAAGACGCCGUAAUAUACGCCGUAUGAUUUCACGACGCCGUUAAAAACGCCGCUAAAAGCACAGAAGACGCCGUUUCCCACGGCGUUUUUCGACCCUUUUGGCGCGCCGUCUCAGUGCAACAGCGUAAAAAGCGGCGUUUUAGUGUCUGACUGCGUCCGAAAUCGCAUACUUCCAUACUAAACAGUAUGCAAAAGCAGUAUGCGAGAUGGGGUAGUGUGUCCGAAUGCGCAGUAUGCGAGUUUAGGUACGCGAAAAGUUCCCGGAUGACAUACUGCACCGGGACAGAUUUUGAAGUAUGCAAGCCCUGCACACUUCACCCGCUCAUAUUUCCCAGAGUUCCAAGGGGGGCGGCGGAAGCGAAGCAGAGGUUGAAGAUGGCGGACAGCGGUGACGCGGGUCUUUACAAGUUUAAGUAGAAUGUAAUCGGAAUAAUAGAAAAUAUCACCACUUAAGUACCCAAAGUAACGUUAUGAGUAAUUUUGUGAAGAAUGAUACGCAUAUUUUAUUUGAUUUUUAAUUUAUUAACUUCGCUAACGCUAACUUGCAAGUGUUUAAGGCUACCGUCAGUACGCGCUAAGAUAGUCAUGCUAGCUCGCUCGCUAACUAGUUAGCCAGCCAAGCUAACCUAGCUAGCUUAAUGUUGUAUUGUUAGUAAAGAAAUGUAGCGCUAUUUCAGUUACCUAGGAUCACAGAGUCGAGUAAGUUGAGCGGUUGUGUGGGCUAAACGUGCGGGAUUAGCUACAGCUGGUGUUAGCUAGCUAACGCUAACUAGAUUUGUUUGUUCUCUUCUGAAUGUAGUUUUGAAUUUUGUGUUUUAGUACCUCUAUUAAUCUCGCUAGCACACCGUUCAACGUGGCUUAAUGGCUCAUUCUGAAGUAUCUAGGUUAGCUAGUUUCCUGAACUGUCUUUCUGUAAUUUAAAGUAUUGCUGAGUUAAUUUGGCUACAAAUGUACUUGUAAGUGGUUUGCAGGUUACGUUGUUUAACUAGUUAGGUAGUUAGCUAUAUAACGUAAUGUUAAAUAAAGUUGAAUGGCUAAUCUAGCUGGCUAUUUUAGCAUUUUCAUUUUAGUUUACAUCUUGGCUGCCUAGCUUAGCUGUCAUACAAUUGUGAUGAAGUUGGUGGUUCACCUUAGUAGCUAGUAAUAAGCCAAAACUAUACUUUUAAAAGAAAUAAAUCUUGCUUUGAGGUAAUUGAUGCUAAAUAUUUAUUAUUGUUGUAACCCUGCUACAAUAUUGUCACAUUUGCCAUUCCAUUUAAAGCUAAAGUUUUAUAUUGCAGGGAGUGAUGAGGACACCAGGGAGCUGAUCCGGUGGAGGGUGGCCAAUGAGGCCCUCUUCACCGGAAAAAGAAAUGCAGCAGUUCGAGGAUUUGAGAUUGCCAGGCGCAGGAUAGCUGCAUGAUGAUGGACGACGUGCAUGUGAUGCAGAGGUGCUGGCCACAGGAGGCAAAAUUAAGAGUUCCUGAUGGCCACCACAUCAUCCAUGCUUCUAUCUUAUGGCUUCACGAAAUGGAGAAGGUAUGGUAUUUUACAAAUGGCGUUGCACUAACAACCAUUAAAACCAUAUAUUUUUAAAUAUUGUAGGAGAAGCGUAUAAACACAAUUCACUUCACUAAGAAUAGAUCAAACUAAUCUUUUAUAAUGGUUUGUAUUGACAAUACAAUACAAUACAAGCCUGAGAAAUGGCUACCACAUCCAAGGAAGGCAGCAGGCGCGCAAAUUACCCAUUACCGACACGGUGAGGUAGUGACGAAAAAUAACGAUGCAGGUCUCUUUCGAGGCCCUGUAAUCGGAAUGAACGUAUCCUAAACACAUGGGUGAGGACCCAUUGGAGGGCAAGUCUGGUGCCAGCAGCCGCGGUAAUUCCAGCUCCAAUAGCGUAUAUUAAAUUUGCUGCAGUUAAAAAGCUCGUAGUUGGACUUCGGGAGUGGGCUGGCGGUCCGCCGCGAGGCGAGCUACCGCCUGUCCCAGACCCUGCCUCCCGGCGCCCCCCGGAUGCCCUUGGUUGGGUGUCCGGUCCUCAGGGGUCCGGAGCGUUUACUUUGAAAAAAUCAGAGUGUUCAAAGCGGGCACCAAACUCGCCUGAAUGCCUGAGCUAGGAAUAAUGGAAUAGGACUUUUUUUUAUUUUGUGGGUUUCCUGAACCAGGGCCAUGAUUAAGAGGGACGGGCGGGGGCAUUCGUAUUGCGCCGCUAGAGGUGAAAUUCUUGGACCGGCGCAAGACGGACAAAAGCGAAAGCAUUUGGCAAGAAUGUUUU